GAAAUAUUAGAAACCGUCUCUUAACUUUUAACUAAAAAAAUAAGAACCGGCUUUUAGAUAAGAUGUUUAAGAGUCGGUUCUUAACUUUUUUAUUUAAAAGUUAAAAGAUAGUUUCUUAUAUUCC
rfam:Brassica napus, WGS project CCCW01000000 data, contig: 4904